rnacentral:lncRNA from 1 species
CUGCAUCCAACAUGGCUUCUCUCUUGGAUGGCUCUGCCCAUUGCUUCCUACAGCUUUCCUUGGCAGAUGUUCCAUGUUACUAGAAUCUCUUAAUUCCUGAGGUCUCCACUGCAGCUUUAGCUUCAUUCUCACAUUUUUAUGCAUUUCUGUCUCAGGGGCUACCUGAAGGGAUGCUGACCCUCCUGCACUUUGCCUGGCCUCCCAGGACUUCCUUUGAAACCUCAGUGGAGGCCUCCAUGAUCCCCAACUCCAGAAUCCUACAUUCUUGAACAACUGGCACCACAUGGAUGAUGCCAACUCCUGCUGCCAGCUCAAGGAAUAGCUGGGCUCCUUGACUAUGGUUGCAGGGGCCCUUGAAUCUAGACAACUGAACAUUAUUUAAGGACCCAUGAGGAAGGAACUUCAUAGGUCCCUCUUAUGGAGGCAGGGUGCUCCUAUGAUCUCUUUUCAAAUGAAUUUUUAUUUUACACCCUUAAGACUUCAAUGGGUGUAGUUUCCUAAGGUGCCCUUAAGGAAUCUUUUCUAUUAUCUCUGGAUAAAAUACUUAGCUUCUCUUUAGUGGUGGUAAUCUCUUCAGCAACCACAUCUACUUCUUUGGCCAAACUGAAAGCUUUUUCAAUCUUUCCUGGGUUUUUUGCUUCUGAUUAUCAUAGUAAACUUGGAUUAAUAACCACCAGCAAUACCCAUGCAACUUUCUGAAUUUGUGCUGCCUUGAACUUUACUCCCCCAGAUUAAUUAGUCCAUCAACUAUAGAUUGAGACUCAAAGUUUCAGGUCAUGGGCAAAUUGCAGAAAAGUUCUUUGCUGUCAUGUGACUGUAUCUAAUGUGACUUGUCUCUAAUCCAAUUCCUAAGAGUCCUCAUUACCAUCUGAAACCUCAUGAGCAUAGUCUUUUUACUGUUCAUAUUGUUAUCAACAUUCUGGUCUUCUCAGCUCCCAUCAGAAUUACCUAAAAAGCUUUGCUUUUAACAUUCUAAGUUUUCUCCAGCCUGCAUCUCCAAACAUGUCCAAACUCCUGCCACAAACCAGUUCAAAAGGCUUCUGAACCACAUGGUCAGGUUACUCACAGCAACAACCCUACUUUUCAGUAUCAAUUUAUCAGUCAGCUUUUCAUCGCUGUGACCAAAGUACCUGACAACAGUUACUUAGCAAAAAAAUAAUUUAUUCUCAGUUCAUAGUUUUAAGGAUUAAACCUCUGAGUUGGUGAGCCCAAAAUAAGAUUUUCUUCAUGAAUUCUCAGUUGACAUAUAAUUUUAAGCACCUAACUAAUUUUAGAAAUGAAAUUUUAAGCAUCUAAUUUUAGAAAUGUAAGACAACGAUUUCAUGCUUCAACAUUUACUAUUAUAGACUCAGUUGUUAUUUUGGUGUUAUCAAAAUAAAAUUUUUUUCUGUAUGUGUUUAAGGUUUUUUGCUUUUGUUUUUUUAUGUGUGUGUUUUAGCAGAGCCUAAAUAUAGGUUUCCUUUGUGUAUAUACUCUGGGGAGUUUGCCAAAAUUUACAUUUGUGUUUUGAUUUCUCUAAUAGAUUUUAGGUACCUUUCAGUAUUAAUUUUUCAGUUAUUACUUCUGUCAGUUUUCCCUCCUUUGAAACUCCAGUUAUUCAUAUGUUCUGUUACUUGACACUGUAUGACACAUUUUUUUACUCUGUUUGAUUUGUUCUUAUUUAUGCACUUUAGCCUUUCUGUAUUUCACUUGUGGCAUUUCUACAUUAGACUUUCUUCAAGUUUACUAUAUUUCCCUCUGUGUCCAUAUGACUCAUGAGACAUUAUUUCACAUAUUUAUUCUGUACUUUCAGAAUAACACAUGAUUUUUAGAGUCAUUUUGUUUGGGUAUCUUUUUAUUUUUACUCAUUUACAUCUUCUUUAUAUAGUUUCUUUAACAUACUUAAAAGAGUUAUUCUAAAGAUAUUGAUAGCAUUGUAGCUUCAGGAGCUAAGUGUCUGCUAUUUACUAACUUUAUUUUCUCUUCCUGGACAUACGUUUUCUCCUUUCAUGUGUGCUUUAAUUUUCAUUUGAGUCCAUACAUUUUGUAUGAGAUGGAAUGUUAUGACUUAAGUUUAUAUAAUUACUCCCACCAAUGAGAAUGUUUGCUUUCUUUUGAUCUAAUUAAACUCAUUUGGGCCUGGGUUACAUUUUAGUUUGUGUCAGUCCACUUCUGGUAUGAAAAGAUGCAAAGAGAGGACUGUGUGUGUGUGUGUGUGUUUUCAAUUGAGAACCUGGUUAGAAUCUUGUUCCUCUAUCCCAAAAGACUGAUAAAUUUACCUGCUUCUUUGAUGCUUUAACUCCUGUUUUAAAAUUUGAUCCUGAGUGAUUUUCAAAUAUAGCAAAUAUGUUCAAUAAAGAUACUAACUGUUUAUUUAAAGCAGGCCACUUUUCCUUUUGGGACAUUUUGUCUGAGAAUAUGGGAAAUUUCAGUCCAAAACCUCAGCAGUGCCUCGUGCAUGCUAGGUGAGCACUCUACCAAGUUUCAGAAAAUUUUAAGCUAAAUGUAAUCUCUCAAAGUUCAUCUGGUUCUUCCUUUCUUCAUUACCAUUCCUCUAUUUAUUCAAAUUCAUAUCAUCAAUCCAUAUCCAGAGCUGGCAGUCCUAACCAGGUAAGAAAUAGCCAAAGACCAUAUGUUUGCAUGAAAUAGAGCUUUCUCAUUUGGAUUUAAUUAAUUUAAUCCUCUCAAUCCCACAAUUUACUUUUAAACACACACACACUAUUUUACAUGCACACUGUUCUAGUCAGCUUUCCGUUGCUGUGAUUAAAAGAUCUGACCAGAACAAUUGCAGAGGAGGAAAAGUUUAUCUGAGGUCUCACCAUUUCAGAAGUCUCAGUUCAUAGAUAGGCAGCUCCAUUCCUCAGGGUUUGAGGUGAGGCACAACAUCAUCAGGGAAGAGUGUGGCAGAGGGAAGCUGCUCACAUGAUGAUCAGGAGGCAGAGAGACAGAGAGAGACUCCACUGGCCAGAUACAAAAUGACCAGAUACUCUAAUGACCCAUCUCUUCCAGCCACACCCUACUCACCUUUAUUUACCACUCUGUUAAUCCCCAUCCCCCCAUCAACAGAUGCAUUCACUGAUUGGGUUAAAGCUCUCAUAACCCAUUCAUUUUUCUUCUAAACCUUCUUGCAUUAUCUUAUAAGUGAGCUUUAGGGGACACAUCACAACCAACCCAUGACACACAUGCCCACAAGGGAUGGAUCAGUAACCACAUAGGUAUUUUUAAAAGCAAAGCUAACCCCAACAUACCAUAUGUUUGCUUUUAUUAUUUGCAGAUUGCCAAGGACCUCCUCCAAUAGGAGAUACAGAAAUUCUGUUAGGUUCCUGGCCUGACCAGCCUUAUACAGAGGGUACUCAGGCUACCUACAAAUGCCACCCUGGCUAAAGAACACUUGGUACCAUCAAAAGGCAUGCAGAAAUGGAGAAUGGGUGGCUCUUAAUCCAGGCAGGAUAUGUCAGAGUAAGUACUUCACUUUUUAAAACAAUACUUAUUCUUAAGUUUUAGGUGGACACAAUAUCUUUAUUUUACAUUUAUGUGGUGCUGAGGAUUGAACCCAGUGCCUCGUGCAUGCUAGGUGAGCACUCUACCACUGAGCCACAACCCCAGCCCUGAGUACUUCACUUUUUUUGUGAAAUUUAUGAAAUAUUUUAGUUGUGAAAAUGCUUAAUACUUGAUAUUGUAACAAUACUGGUUGAAUUAUAUCAUUCUUAUCAUUUUAAUACAAAACAAUACAUGAUUAUUUUAAAAAAGAGGACAGUAAUCCGACAAAAUUCAAAAAUACAUUCAAUUAUAAAAUAAUACCUUUGCUAUUUUCAAUUUUCCUUAUAUUCAAUGUUGUCCUCUAAUUAAAUGCCAAAUAUCUUUGUCCACAAACUCCUACAUAAAUGUGUUCCCUGUAAAACAUACUAAUACAUAUACAUAUAUAUUUUUAUUUUAGGGAAGCCCUGUGGACAUCCUGGGGAUACUCCAUUUGGUUCUUUUCAUCUUGAUGUAGGAAAUAAAUUUGAAUAUGGUGCAAAAGUUGUUUAUAAGUGUGAUGAGGUGUAUGUAGUCAAUAUUGAAAAGGUUUAUAACUCAAAUACUAAAGAGGAACUCUACUAAUUUAUAUACACAAAUAACUUGAAAAUUAAGGUACAAAUAUAAAGUAUUAUAUGUGUAUAUCAUACUGUUUUCUUAAUAUUAAGAAAUUCAAGCUGUAAUUACUCUAACAUAGUAUUAUUAUAAGUAUAUGGAAAAACAGUUCGCAUGUAAGUAAGUGUUCACCCAAGGCAUCUUUUCUACAUUGUACUAUUUGUAGGGUAUUUUGGGUUAUUUAUGUUGGGGAUAAUUGGACAUAUAAUGAAAUUAUAAAUUUAUAAAAAUUUAGGAAGAAGCAAUUCUUUGGUUGUAAGUUUUAUUUAUAAAUGCUAUUAUUUAAAUUUCCAUGUUAUACAAAUUCUUUUUCUCAUUCAUAUCAAAAAUGCUACUGUUUCAGAAUCAUUGAUUUUAUGCCUUCUGACCAGCCAGUCAGGUUUCCUGACUGAUCUCAUCAUGGUACCUCCUUACUAUUUGUUCUUCUCUAUUAUUCCUCUCUAGGUCAAAAACUUAUUUUGCAGAAAAUUUUGUACAUUAGGAAGCCAUGAUCAGAUCACUGUAAUUUUAUACUAAACAAGAAGAAUCAAGAGAUUAUAAAUAGAAUCAUUAUUCUCCCUUCAUACAUUUCUUGAUUUGGAGCAAGAAAAUGUAAUAGUUUAAAGGUCAGGCUUGACACUAAACCCACAUUCCAAACCUUCAACUCUCAGCACCUGUGUGUAUAAAUAGGUCUUCACUUGAAUUUUGCUUUCUUUUUAAAGUGAACACAUAUCAUGUGCAUCAUGGAAUUAGUGAGAGAAAGAAAUAAGAUCCAUACUUGAAGCCCUUAAAAGAGAUCCUGGAAUAUUGCUAAUGCCCAAUAAGUAUUAGUUCUUAAUAGUUUGGCCUCUUCGGAGGAAGUUUUUCAAACACAUUUCAGUCCAACUCUCAGUCAUUACUACUGUCGUCUUCAUAUGUAACCAAGUAGGUUAAGCCAAUCUGGGCCUGAAAUUUUCGAUUUGCUCUAUUUCUGAAAUCUCCCUUUAUUUCUAGAAAAGUCUUCCCUUUAGGUUCCAAUAAUGACUUGGAAAGGAAUCAAAAUCCAUAAAUUUCUUUUACUUGAUUUCCUCAAUUGUAACAAUUCAUAUUUAUAACUUGUUAAAGAAAUUAGCUACAACUAGGCUCCAGUUUCCUCGCCUUCUAGGAAAGAGAUUUCCCAAACUUGCCAACCAUCAGAAUCACCUGGGGAGCCUUAGGAAAAAAAAAUACAGAUUGCGAUUCAGUAGGUCUAGGGUAGUCUAGAAAUCUGUCGUUUUUUAAAAGCUCCUCACUAGCCAGGUGCCAUGGCGCACACCUGUAAUCCAAGCAACGUGGGAAAUUGAAACAGGAGGAUCCCAAGUUCAAAGCCAGCCUCAGCAACUUAGCAAGGCCCUCAGCAACUUAGUGAGACCCUGUUGCAAAAUAAAAGAAUGGCUUGGGAUGUGGCUCAGUGGUUAAGUACCCUCAGGUUCAAACCCUGGUACCAAAAACAAACAAACAAAACAUAAUAAUAGCUGUAGCUCAGUGGUAGAGCAUUUGCUUAGCACAUGUGAAGCACUGGGUUUGAUUUUCAGCACUGUAUAUAAAACAAAAAAUAAAUGUGUAUUGACAACUAAAAAAAUAUUUAAAAAUAAAAUAAAAGCUCCUCAUUGAAACAGUAAUACCAUAGCAUUGUGGGAAGGGGAGUUGAGAUAAAGAGGAGUGGCAUUGCUGUGUGUCCCUAGCAUUAAGCUAGUAUAACUCUGAAGCUGACUCUGAUGUGUUAAGAUGGAAUCGUACCCUUUAGAGCAACCGCUAAACCAAUAGCACAAAAAUAAUUUUUUAUUUCAUUAAGAAAUUAAAAUGAUACAUUAGACAGAUUCACUUAAUGCAAAAGAAAACAGAAAAGAAGGAACAGAAAGGACACAAGAUGUAGAAAACAAAAAGUAAAAUGGAAGAUGUAGAUCCAACUAUAUUAAGAAGACAUUAAAUGUGAAUAGAUUAAAUAAUCCAAUGAAGUACAGAGACUGUCCAACCGGAUGAGAACAAGAUCCAAAUAAACAUGCUGUCUAGAGGAGCCACAAUUUAUAUUUACAGGUACAAAAAGACUGAAAGUAGGAAUGUGGGGAAAGAUCCAUCAUGCAAACAGCAACCAGGAGAAAACUGGGGCUGGGGGUGGGGUGGAUGUAUACUGACUGAUAUCAGACAAAAUAAACAAAAAAUGUUACUAAAGACAAGAAGGGAAUCUUACACGAACUGCCCACUGACCUGCCUCCUGACCUGCCUCCAUUCCUCAUCCUGCCCUCUAAGCAGAAGCCCCAGCAACAGUCACCAGCCACACAUACAUCUCACCAGUAAUCUCUGCAUGUGCCCAGGCAGGCCAUGGCUAGGGAGGCCGAGAUCAGGGAUUUUGUUUUUGUGGUCACCAUUUCUCAAGGUGAAGUCUCCAGGAAGAUUCAGUGAUAUUUCCUCAGCUCUUGAAAAGAAAAACCAUCAUCUUUCUUUUAAGGCUGUUCCUGAAUCCAGAGGAGGCAGCAGGGGUGAUAGGUUUAUAUGAAGAUGGAAUUUUAUGCACAAGAACUAUGGUUAUUUUUAGAGCUAGGCUUGGUGUUGCAUGCCUGGAAUCCCAGCAGCUUGGGAGGCUGAGGCAGGAGUUCAAAGCCAGCCUCAGCAAUUUAGCAGGGCCUUAAGCAACUCAAUGAGACACCAUCUCUAAAUAAAAUAUAAGAAUGGGCUGGGGAUGUGUAGCUCCGUGGUUAAGGGCCCCUGAGUUCAAUCCCCGGUACCCCCUCCCCUCACAAAAAAAAGUAUGGAUAUUUUAAAUACAUAAUGUUAGAGGCAAAAGACAAAAAGGCCAAUCCAUCAGGAAGAUAUAACAAUUACAAACACAUAUGUAACUAAUAACAGAGCACAAAACACAAGAGGCAAAACCAGACAGACAUUAGACAACUGAACAAUAGUUAGAAACUUCAAUGCUCACUUUCAAAACAGAACAGUUAGAACAACAAGGAAAGAGAAAACUUUAACAACACUAACAAUCAAUUGGACUUAACAAUGCCUAAAUGCCUUCUAGGAAGAGAAUGUAUGGAUUUACAUUUCCAUCAAAACUGGUCCAAAAAAUAUUGUGUCAGGUUAUCCUUUAAAGACAAAAGUUCUUUAACCAUUAAAAGUUAAGUUCCAAAGAUCUUUGGUAAAAUACAGUCCUGCGAAAAUGGUCGCUGCUAUCCAUUCACCCACCAGAUAAUGGGAGUGGCCUGAGCCUACCACACCUGUUUUCCUGCUCUUUGCUGCCGCCUAGUGUUGUAAUAGGAGAAGUUCAUUGCAGGGGAGCCUGACUUCUGGGGCACCCAGCGGCUGUGCUCGGACCUGAUGGGCUGUCCUAAAUGGGCCCAGGCCACAGGAAGUGGCACUUCUGGGCUUUCUGUAAUGAGAACCUGGGGCACAUCCCAGAGGAAGCCUUGGAGGGACAGGAGAAGAGCUCAGGACUGGGCAUUUGAGACCUGGUUUUUGAAUCCUGUAUGGCUUUAUCCCUGAUUUGCAAUGAGGCAAGUUUGUUCUUUCUUUGCCCUCUGUUUCUUCUCAGUGAACUGAGGGGUUGGCCAAAAUUGGUAUUUUGCAAACUAUUGGUAGUGGCCUAUUAAUGAGCUGUUAACUCUCUAUUUAAAAUUGUAGAUGAUUUUUUUUUUAAAUGGGAAGUACAGAAUAAGAAAUAAUGGAAAUAUUCAGAUGCAUUAUACACAGUAAGGGUAAUUAUUGCUUCCAGAACCUUCUGUAUGCAGUAUACCCUGUGCUGUUUGGUCCGUGGUAAAAUAUAUUUCUUACCAAUGGUCUUGGUCAGUUCUGCUUGAAAGCCUUUGGCUCAGGGGAGCUCCAGGGUCCUCCUAGAUGGAGAGUUAAGCUCGAACUGAGCCUGGUCUGGGGAGAAGGUCCCACCUUGUGGAGGAAGAUCUGGUGCAGUGCUAACCGGAUCUUUUCCUUCUCCCUGUUCUAGGAUGAAUGGAAGCCUAGGCGCUAACGCAGAUGACUGCAGAGACUUUCCCACCGGGCCUCAAGCCAAAACAACACAAAAAACCACAGCUCCUGAGUCGGAGUUCCUCAGUGCAGCUCACUCUCAGGGGUGCCCAGAUGGGCCUGACAAGGUAGGUGCAGGUGCCAUUGAGGGGACACAGGCACUAGGUGGAGCCACAGUGUCAGGCAAAGAUCUGUUUUCCCUGUUUCAUCACCGCCCGGCGGGAACUGCGGAGGGCAGUAAGAACUCACGACUCGGGGAUGCAGAAGAAGCAGCGAUGCUUGAGGCCACAGGUGUCUGACCUGUCCCCUCUUGGAUUCCAAAAGGCUGGAGUGGAAGAGGGAGGCUCUUUUACCUGACCCAGGGGCUCUCAUUACCACCGCGGACUUGGUGGGUUCUGCGGUGGCCUAAAGCUCCCAGGCAGCUGCAGAGGACAGGAGCUGCCACGAGGGGACAGCAGAACACCGGCGUUGACAGAGUGAGUUCUGUCCGCCAUAGUAGGAAUGGGAGAGACGUCUCUGUGCAGGGAACAAGGAUGCUCCAAGAGAGGCCUGGCAAGUUCUCUCCCCGAAGGCUCCAGGAGGAGUACAGCGUCCAGAUUUCCAAUAGAGGUCACCAGGGCCAGCCGGAGCUGACUCAUACAGGCUCACAAGAGCAGAUGGUUGAAUUUUUUAAAAAAAUCUUCAAGCCCACUGGUAAAUAUAGCCUUUGUCAAAACUCACCUUAAAGGAAUUGUUUGAAAGCAAACAUACUCUAAAACUCAUCAUUUUCUAAUUAUUUUGCUACUAUGUUUUAUGUUCCUGAGGUUAUUUACAUUUAUUCUGGUGGAAAUGCCAUAACACUGUUUUACUGCCGGCAGCAACAGAACAUCUUUAGUCUGAAACUGAUCGUGGAAGGGGAAUUUACACACCGAGGAGUCAACCCAUGCUGCAGAUCAGGGCUACUGCUGUUGCUCCUCUUCCUCCCCUGCCUCCUCCUCCUUCUUGUAGUGGGACUUGAACCCAGGUGCACUUUGCCACUGAGCUAGACCCCAGGCACUUUUUUUUUUUUUUUGAGACAGGGUCUUGCUGAAUUUCUUAAGUCCUCAUUAAGUUGCUGAGGUUGACCUCCAAACUUAAAUCCACCUCAGCCUCCUGAGUGCUGGGGGUUAUAGGCGUGGCCGUCCCACCUGGGCUUACUGGGCUGCUUUUGGAGAGCCAGCACACCUCUGAGACCCACUCCCCUCCUAUACCCAGUUCUCCCAUCUCUUCUCUUAUCCAGCCAGCCACUCCUACCUCUUCAGAGAUGGGAAGAUAAAAGGCUUGGCUUUGACCUGUAGCUCUGAGAACACUUCAGGACUUUACCUGGAUAAGCAGACAUGGAGAGAGAACUUAGAAGAGCAUGUCAUUCAAAGGGAAAAUAUCAAGGCAGGGCAGCACGUUGCCCCUCAUCCUCCCCUGCUCCCCACUCCUCCCACAACUCGUGGCACCUACAGAGCAGGUGAAGGAAGAGAUGUUGAGCCUGAAGAAGAGGAGAUACCGCCAACUGUCUACCAAACAUUUGAAGGGCUGGGAUGUGAGUGAGAACUUCUCUAUCAGUAUCCAAGAUAAAAAAAACCAAGGCCAAGACAUACAGAUUCAACUUAAUAUGAAGAACCUCAACUGAGCCAUUCGAAGAUGGGAUGAAAUGGUUCAUGAGUGCUGCCUCCUCCUCCAGUACAUGGGAUGCAUAAAAGAGAAUUUAAGACUCAUACAAAAGCCAUGCUGUCCACAGUCCAACAUUAUAGUGUUAGCUGAGAACUAGUUAGAAAUGCAGGACCUCAGGCUCCACCCCAGGCCUGCUGAAUCAGAAUCUAAAUUUUAACAAGACCCCAAAGUGACCUAUAAGAAACAGCAGUUUCAGAAGCUUCAAACUGAAUCAGAUGAAUUUGAGGUGGAGAUAUACUAUAUUAUUUCGUAUAAUGUAGUGGAAACUAUAGCAAUUGUUUCUUUAUGGAAACAAUCUGUAUUUGGGAGCUGGUUAGUACAUUAUAGCAAUCAAUGUGAUGGGAUAACUGUUCAUAUGGUAACAUGAAGGAGAUGAUUUUCAUUAACUGGUAGAGAUGAAAUCCAGGCUACAUUGUGAAGUGAGGAAAACAAAGUCAUUUCUAAAAUCAAAAUUUGUUCUAAAUCACCAAUAGAAUAGCUAAAAAUAAAAUUGAACCUGUAUAAGAAUCAAAACAAAAUGUGUGAGUAAAUAUUUUAAAUAUUUUUAGCUGUAGAUGGGCGCAAUAUUUUAUUUAUUUACAUUUAUGUGGUGCUGAGGAUCGAACUUCAUGCCUCACACAUAUGAGGCAAGCGCUCUACCACUGAGCUACAUCCCCAGCCCUGUGAAUAUAUUUUUAUAAUCUUGAAAUGUGGACGAUCUAAGUAUGGCACAAACCCGAAAGUCAUAAAAGUAAAAACAAAUAAGCUCAGACCAUACAUAUAGAAACCAAACAUUUUUCUGGGUGCUGUGGUACAUACCUGUAAUCCCAGUGACUUGGGAGCCUGAGGUAGGAGGAUUGCAAGUUCAAGACCAGCUUCAGCAACUUAGUGAGGCCCUAAGCAAUUUAGCAAGACCCUGUCUCAAAAUAAAAAAUAAACAGGGCUAGGGAUGUGGCUCAGUGGUAAGCACCCCUGGAUUCAAUCCCAGUACAAAACAACAACAACAACAGAACACACACACAUUUUUACUUGGUGAAAAACUAUCACACACAUACACCAAAAAAAAAGCAAAAAUGACAGAUUGGUAAAGUAACUGUAACACUAUUAAAAAAGAGGUUAUUUUAAUAUAUAAAGAGCUCCUGCAACUCAAUAAGAAAAACACCAACAAUUUAAAAGAAAAAAAAUGGACAAAAGACAUAAGCAAUUCAUGGAAAAAGAAAUGAAAAUAAGUACCUUUAAACAUGUAAAAAGAAGCUCAACUUAAUCCAUGAAGAAUGUAGAUUAGCAUAAUGAGAUACCAUUAUCAUUUAAGUUGGCAAAGAUAAAUUCAGCACUAAUGAGAAGGAAUUACUCUCAAUUUCUGGUACUUCUGGGGAGGGCUGUGGGUAAUAUCUGUCAAAUUUAAAAUGUACAUAGCACUUGGCACAGUUGUUCUUUCUUUCUUUCCUUCUUGUUUUUUCUUGAGACAGGGUCUCACUAAGUUGCCCAGGCUGGCCUUGAACUUGCAAUCCUCCUGCUUCAGCCUCCUGAGUUGCUGGAAUUAUGGGUGUGCUCCAGUGCACUAGGUGACACAGCUAUUCUUAUAGAUUCACAUGUAUACAUUGAAGAUAUACAGGAAUAUUAUUUCAACAUGAAUUAUAAUAUCAAAAAGUUGGAAAUAACUAUCCAUCAAUAUAGACCUGAAGCAAUUAACUUGUCAUAUGCAUGCAAUGGAAAACUAUGAAAUCCUAAAAUAUAACAGGGCAACUCUAUAGGGACUGAAAUGGAAUGAUCACUAUAUGUUUUUAAUAAAAAUAAAGAUGUAUUACAUUAAUAUAUUGCAAAGGAAAAUAUAAUUUUCCUUUUUUUUUUCGGUACCAGGGAUUGAACCCAGAGGCGCAUAACCAUUGAGCCACAUCCCUAGCCCUUUUUGUAUUUUAUUUAGAGACAAGGUCUCUCUGAGUUGCUUAGCACCUUGCUAAUUUGCUGAGGCUGGCCUUGAAUUUGUAAUCCUCUUGCCUCAGCCUCCCAAGCCCCUGGGAUAACAGGUAUGUGCCAGCUAAACUUACAUUCUUCUCCUUCCUCCUCCUCCUCCUCCUCCUCCUCCUCCUCUUCUUUUAUAAUUUCUCAGUUGUAAAUGGACACAAUGUUUUUUUAUGUACUUAUCUUUAUGUGGUGCCAAGAAUCAAAACCAGUGCCUCUUAAGUGUGAGACAAGUGCUCUACCACUGAGCUACAGCCCCAGCCCUAAACUUACAUUCUUAAACAUCUCUGGAUAAUACAAGAGACAGCUACCAGUGGGACCUGAGAAAAGAAUCGUGGACCAAGCAUCAGGGUGAGAAGGAGCUCAGAUUUUCAGUCGAUAUCUUUCAAUACUGUCAAUUCUGUAGAGUGUGCACAAAUUACCUUUAAACAUUAAAAAAAAAAUUCAUUUGGAGAGAGAGAGAACUCUCUCAGGUAAAGACCAAGCAGCCCCAUCCCCAUCCUACCGUUGAAGGGACAGUGUCUUUGGGUUCACCCUAUUACUUCUGUUCUUGCCCUAAUAAUUAAAUGCUUUCUUUUCUUGAAGGCUCAUUCCAGCCUCUGAAUCCUUCCAUCAAGUUCACAGAGGUGACCGUCGGUCCCCUGCUUUCCACAGUAGCUUGCAGGAUCUGUAGCUCCCCGCACCCUGCACUUUGUAUCAGUUGCGUCUCUGCAUCUGCCAUUAAAAUUGCCUCGCGCUUCUUCAUAUCACCUCGAAUGCCAUGUGGCUUUGUCAUGAGUCACCCUCUCUCCUGAUCUCUGGGACACCCACAGCCACACUUCACCCUGCAGUUCAUAUCAGGACCUGACAGCAUUGCAGAGCAUCGGGACUCUCCUUCUCUGCUUGCCCCAGGAGCUCCUGGAAGGUGGCAGCCUGGGCUUCACUCAUCUCUGUGCCCUUGAAAGUGCUGAGAGCAGAGUGAGCGCCCCAGAGAGCCGUCUCCAGUUCUCGGGUGAUGGAUGGCCAUUCAACAUAGCACAGUGUCAUGCGGUCUUUACUAGUCACCCUAGUACUUGCCUUGGCACUGAGAGCCGGUGUGACUGGAGGUGUGGUGCUUUCUAUGCUGCAAGGGCUGUGGUCCCCUCACACAGCAGCAGGGCGGGCGUCCAGCACCUGGCCACAUGCCCAGGGCUCAGAACCCUGCACCUUUCUCCAUCCU